rnacentral:rRNA from 1 species
GAUGAACGCUGGCGGCGUGCUUAACACAUACAAGUCGAACGAUGAAAGCGGGAGCUUGCUCCUGCUGGAUUAGUGGCGAACGGGUGAGUAACACGUGAGCAAUCUGCCCCGAACUCUGGGAUAAGCGUUGGAAACGACGUCUAAUACCGGAUACGACACGCGAAGGCAUCUUCUGCGCGUGGAAAGAACUUCGGUUCGGGAUGAGCUCGCGGCCUAUCAGCUAGUUGGUGAGGUAACGGCCCACCAAGGCGACGACGGGUAGCCGGCCUGAGAGGGUGACCGGCCACACUGGGACUGAGACACGGCCCAGACUCCUACGGGAGGCAGCAGUGGGGAAUAUUGCACAAUGGGCGCAAGCCUGAUGCAGCAACGCCGCGUGAGGGACGACGGCCUUCGGGUUGUAACCUCUUUUAGUAGGGAAGAAGCGAAAGUGACGGUACCUGCAGAAAAAGCACCGGCUAACUACGUGCCAGCCGCCGCUGUAACAC